rnacentral:lncRNA from 1 species
AUAUCAGCACUCCAUUCCUGAUCUCCUUCCCCUUUGAGUUUGAUUUCAGCACCAGAUGAGACUAGAUACUUGGACCAUGAGAUUGCCCUCCUGUACUCCCCUAGUGAAAGUGUCCUCCCUGCCGCCUCUGAUGAUUUCUUCUCCUGGUUGUAAUUGGAUUGGUGCUUGAACCAGUGUAGUUUCCUCAUUCUUUUUGUUUUCGCACAAAAAAUGUCAAAUUGCUAAAUCUCCUGGAAAACCCAAGACAAAAUAGGAGAACAUUCCCUGCAAGAAAAGGAGAUGAAUCUGGGAGUGGGAAGAGAAUUGACUCUCAGUCAACUAUGUUUCUAAAAGUGUCC